UGCGGAAGGAUCAUUACCUAGAGUUGCGGGCUUUGCCUGCCAUCUCUUACCCAUGUCUUUUGAGUACCUUCGUUUCCUCGGUGGGUUCGCCCGCCGGUUGGACAACACUUAAACCCUUUGUAAUUGAAAUCAGCGUCUGAAAAAACUUAAUAGUUACAACUUUCAACAACGGAUCUCUUGGUUCUGGCAUCGAUGAAGAACGCAGCGAAAUGCGAUAAGUAGUGUGAAUUGCAGAAUUCAGUGAAUCAUCGAAUCUUUGAACGCACAUUGCGCCCCUUGGUAUUCCAUGGGGCAUGCCUGUUCGAGCGUCAUUUGUACCUUCAAGCUCUGCUUGGUGUUGGGUGUUUGUCUCGCCUCUGCGCGCAGACUCGCCUCAAAACGAUUGGCAGCCGGCGUAUUGAUUUCGGAGCGCAGUACAUCUCGCGCUUUGCACUCACAACGACGACGUCCAAAAAGUACAUUUUUACACUCUUGACCUCGGAUCAGGUAGGGAUACCCGCUGAACUUAAGCAUAUCAA
rnacentral:rRNA from 1 species